rnacentral:misc_RNA from 1 species
GUGAAUUAAACAUGCUUGGUGUCUUCGCUUCGGCAAGGCCCUUGCUUAAAUCACAUCCUAACACCUAUGAACUGUAAGACGUAUGAUGAGGUCUUUGGCCAAGUCAUCGUCUGCCCAUUUUUAACAAACAAUUAAUGUAACAAACGUAGUCUUAUUAUAACCUAAUA